ensembl:lncRNA
CGGGUCUCUCCUGGGUUACGUCACGUUAGGAGGCAGAGCCGUGAAGUCCUGUGUACCUGAGAGCUCAGAAAAAGAGAGAAGAAAAUGUUUAGAUGGGUGGAGUGGGGAGUGCCGCGCGCCGAGGCUGGCAGUCCCCACGCAGUAUGGCAGGCGGCAAGUGGUUUCCCGAUAAACCGAAAAACACAACUUCUUCAAGAAUUUCUUUGAGAGUGUAACCCCACACUUGGGAGACUAAAGCAGGAAACAGCAAGUUCAAGGGGAGGCCCUGUCCCGAAAACAGUAACAAUUAAAGCUGAAAAUGUAGCUGGCAUGUGAAAGGCCCAAGACAGGUGAAGGUCGUAAAGUGUUUCUUUGGGUCUUAACCAUGUAUAGACAUUUUAGUCACCAAUGCUUCUGAUGGGAUGCAGGAGCUUGUUCUCUGAGGGAAAUUGUUCACACAGAUUCCAAUAGAAAACAGAGGCUGGUGUUAAGAUUGAGAAUCAUGUUGGCAGAGUUAUGUUGGGAUGAUGCAGGGAAGCUAAACAUAACCAGGGGAACAGGGCUCUGGGCCUGUGAAGGGAAGCCACUGAGUCCCCCGAAGCCUUUGAGGGAUAGACAUGAGACACUAUUGCCCUCUCGUUUACUCUCAUUUCUAAGGUUGCUAAUUGUAAUAGACUAAAAUGAAAGUAAAGAUGGCUGCGAACAAUAGGUUCUACCUAGGAGACUACUCAGACUACCCCAAAGACAAGGAGCUCAAUAUGAGAUAAAGAAGAGAGAGUGCAGCUACACCCUGAUGGCUAUGACAGAGCUAACUCUGCAACGAGGAAGCUACGAACUGUUUGUAUAUGUGUGGGACAAAGAAAACGUAGACUGAUCAGCAGCCAGCAAGACACCCGGAAGGUUGAAUACUGUGGGUUUGUUUUUUUAAAUAGGUAUGGUCCGCAUAGACUCCUGUUUGCAUGCUUAGCCAUAGGGAAUGGCACUAUUAGGAGGUGUGGCCUUGUUAAGGGAAGUGUGUCACUGUGGAGGCAGGCCUUGAGGUUUCCUGUGAUCACACUGCACCCCCUGUGGCCACAGUCUCUCGCUGCCUGUGGAUCAAGAGGCAGUACCCUCAGCUCCUCCAGCCCCAUGCCUGCCUGCAUGCUGCCAUGCUUCUCACCAUGAUGACAAUGGACCGAACCUCUGAACUGGUGUUAUACAGUAUAUGCUGGUCUUGAAUUCACCAUGUAACUGAGGAUGACCCUAAACUUCUCAUCUUUCUGCGUUUACCUCCUCCGAAGUGCUGGAAUUACAAGCAUGUGCCACCAGGAUCAGUUUAUGCCAGUGCAAUGGAUUAAAUCCAGGACCCUGUGUUUCCUCUACUGAGCUAUACCCACAGCCAUGCAUUUUCAGUCAGGAAAAAAAAACAAAACAAAAACAGAAUUCCAGAAAUGAUGCAGGUGUUUGAGAAUGAUGGCGCCCUCCACUGGCCAACUUCAUGACCCAGUGACCUGAUUUGCUGGGCACUUACAGUCACAAGAGAUCAACCUGGGACAGUGCUCUAAGCUCACUGUCUAAUGCCAAUGAAGAUUACUGGUGUCGUGUCAUGUGGAGGUAGAAGCAGGCUUUAUUAAGAAUUAUUGCAUAAGGUUGGAGUGGUGGCUCAGCAAGAAUUAUACAUAGGAUUAGAGUAGUGGCUCAGAGGUUAAAAACAUUGGCUGCCCUUCCAGAGGUCCUGAGUUCAAUUCUCAGAAAUCACAUGGUGGCUCAGAACCAUCUAUAAUGAGAUCUGAUGCCCUCUUCUGGUGUAUCUGAAGACAGCUACAGUGUACAAACAUAAAUUAAAAUAAAUAAAUCUUUAAAGAUGAGCAUUUGCUUGCAUGGUAACGUUCACGUACAAAUAAAUAGGAAUUUAGGGCAUAAGUUAAUGCAUAAGAAAUACAUAAUUGGAGAAAGAAGGCCAUAGUUUCUUGCUACCAGUUAGAAGUUCUUAUAAAAACAAAGAAAGAUACUAUAAUUAGACAAGAAAUUUUUAAAUUUCUAAGUGAUAUGAGAUUUUUUUUUUUUUUUGUUUGAGACAGGUUCUCACUAUGUAGGCAUGGCUGACUUGGUACUCACUCUGUAGAACAGACUAACCUGAAACUCAGAGAUCUACCUGCCUCAGCCUUUG